UGGCGGACGGGUGAGUAAUGUCUGGGAAACUGCCUGAUGGAGGGGGAUAACUACUGGAAACGGUAGCUAAUACCGCAUAACGUCGCAAGACCAAAGAGGGGGACCUUCGGGCCUCUCGCCAUCGGAUGUGCCCAGAUGGGAUUAGCUAGUAGGUGGGGUAACGGCUCACCUAGGCGACGAUCCCUAGCUGGUCUGAGAGGAUGACCAGCCACACUGGAACUGAGACACGGUCCAG
rnacentral:rRNA from 1 species